UGGCGGACGGGUGAGUAAUGUCUGGGGAAACUGCCUGAUGGAGGGGGAUAACUACUGGAAACGGUAGCUAAUACCGCAUAACGUCGCAAGACCAAAGAGGGGGACCUUAGGGCCUCUUGCCAUCGGAUGUGCCCAGAUGGGAUUAGCUAGUAGGUGGGGUAACGGCUCACCUAGGCGACGAUCCCUAGCUGGUCUGAGAGGAUGACCAGCCACACUGGAACUGAGACACGGUCCAG
rnacentral:rRNA from 1 species